rnacentral:rRNA from 2 species
UGGGGAAUAUUGCACAAUGGAGGAAACUCUGAUGCAGCGACGCCGCGUGAAUGAUGAAGGCCUUCGGGUCGUAAAAUUCUGUCCUUGGGGAAGAUAAUGACGGUACCCAAGGAGGAAGCCCCGGCUAACUACGUGCCAGCAGCCGCGGUAAUACGUAGGGGGCGAGCGUUGUCCGGAAUUAUUGGGCGUAAAGGGUUCGCAGGCGGUCUGAUAAGUCAGAUGUGAAAGACUAUGGCUUAACCAUGGUAAGCAUUUGAAACUGUCAGACUUGAGUUAAGGAGAGGAAAGUGGAAUUCCUAGUGUAGCGGUGAAAUGCGUAGAUAUUAGGAGGAAUACCAGUGGCGAAGGCGACUUUCUGGACUUAUACUGACGCUGAGGAACGAAAGCGUGGGGAGCAAACA